rnacentral:rRNA from 1 species
GGAAUAUUGCGCAAUGGGCGGAAGCCUGACGCAGCGACGCCGCGUGGGGGAUGACGGCCUUCGGGUUGUAAACCUCUUUCGACCUUGACGAAGCCUUUGGGUGACGGUAGGGGUAGAAGAAGCACCGGCCAACUACGUGCCAGCAGCCGCGGUAAUACGUAGGGUGCGAGCGUUGUCCGGAAUUAUUGGGCGUAAAGAGCUCGUAGGCGGUCUGUCGCGUCGGUCGUGAAAACUUGGGGCUUAACCCUGAGCUUGCGGUCGAUACGGGCAUGACUGGAGUUCGGCAGGGGAGACUGGAAUUCCUGGUGUAGCGGUGAAAUGCGCAGAUAUCAGGAGGAACACCGGUGGCGAAGGCGGGUCUCUGGGCCGAUACUGACGCUGAGG